rnacentral:lncRNA from 1 species
UUUUUUAACAUGUACUGUUUUGUAUAGAGUUCCCCCCCAGUGCCUGACUUUUGUCCCUAAUUAACACCUGACGAGGGGGACGAGGACAGCUGAGAUCCUUCAGGAGGACACUUCUGGGCAGAGCUACUAACCCACCACCCAGUGAGGGCGGGGUCCAUAAGUCAUGAAUAACAGGGGGAGGAGAUAAUUAUUGUUUGUGGUGGAAGGAGAUGAUAGAUGGCAUCUUCACAUGCUGGGGCUUGGGUUUUUUUUUUUUUUUUUUUUUGGCUCUGCUUGCAUUUCCAGUGCCUUACAGCUGGCCUCAUGAUGUACAGGAGGCACUUCAGGACCUGGACCUCAUGCUUCCCUUUCAGAACAAAUUGGAUUCACACAAGAGAAAGUAAACCAAAACCAAAACUCAUUUUAAAAGCUUGCAGGAUCAUCUCACCACUGAUUAGGUAGCAGAGUGAGAAGGGAGGGUACAGAAGGUCCUGUUGCCGUCUGUUUGUUAGAAGAGUGGAGAGCCUCACUUGACUCCUUGUCUAAUGAAAAGUUUUUUUUCUGUUUUGCUUUUUUUUCUUCUCUUCCUCAGCUUUUGAGAGAGCAGGCUGUGUGGGUUGGGAGGUGGAAAAGCAAAAUGCUAAUGGAGCUGUUUUCCAUCACAAAUGUCUGUCCUCCCAUGGGCUGGCCUGGGCUGAUCCUUCCCCAUUGUGGUGGCUUUGCUGUCCCAGACGUCUCACGUUAGCAAGGUUUAGCUGCCUCUAUCAGAAGGCAUGCCUGACCAUAAAUGAUCAUCCCAGAAACAUAACUUCUUUUGGCUGCAGCCCAGCCUGCGCUGGGGGAUGACUAAUGGCCACGAUAGCGAGCGGUCCUGGAUCUUUUCCCCUACUUGGAGUCCUGCAGCUCACACGUGAGGCCACACAGGCUGCAUUCAGACAGGGGUGAGGGAAGAGCCCAAAGCUGCUUUAGACCAGACUUGGUACCACCCCCAUCCAGAGGGACCACUUAAUCUCAUGGGCUCAUUCAAAUUGAUGUUGAGGAUCCUGCUGAUGAUGAUUCUGACUGAUAAAAGAAUGAAGUCUCCUGUUCACUGCAGAGAGAUGCUGCUGCCAGAGCAGUGCUUUCGCUGCCACAGAAACAAAUGCACCCUCAGGAUUUAUCUCAGUCCAGCGGAAAUAUGUUCUCUGCAAAACGUAAUGAAAGUACAGUUUGGUGUCACCAGAAUAUUAUUUCUCUUACCUAUCUCUUUUAGUUCUGUACAUGUGCAGGAAGAUGUCAGCUCUCUUCUUUGGAAGUAUGACAUUCCUAGAGGGACAUUUCUCUUCUGUUUUAUUUUCAUUUUAAAGAGAGGAUUAUUUUAUUUUAUUUCACCCAGCCCUCCAACAGCUUUUAUGUGGGGCUGGUGAGUGUGGAGAUCUCUCCUCCCACGCCUCCAGCUCCCGUGCCCGCUGGGCUGGUUGGAUGCUCUCCUGAUGUGGGAGAUUAGGUCCAAACCCCUCCAGGCAAGGAGGAACUUCAGUGCGCAUCUCCCACAUCCUAAACAGAUGCUUUAAUCCCUGAGAUAUUGCAUAAGGCAAGGGAGGGUACCUUUGUGAAGAAAAGACCUUUCCUUAGAUUUUUUUUUUAAAGGUGUUAAGCCAAAAAAACAGCAGCAGCUAGUUCAAGACCUCCUAAGCGAUGAAUUCUGUGAGAAAAGAGAUACUCAUCUCUCUGAACCUUACCAAUAUUUGCCUUUUAACCAUUUUUUACUGGCUAGCUUACAUGAAUCUUCAUCAACUCCUCUCCAGGUGACCCUAAAACAGACCUGGUUGCCUGUUGAGGCUUGAAUACCUAAUCCACCUCCUCUACACCUUCAUCAAAAUAUCUUGUUUGUUUGUUUGUUUUAAACACUUUGAUUUUUUUUGAAUGACAGGCACCUCUAUAUAAAAUGUGUACCAUACAUGACUUUUAAACACCAAGAGCUCCGGCAUGGAUGAUUCAGCUCAUGCAUUUGCUUUUACUGCACACUUUAUACAUAUGAUAAAGAUGUUGUAUGCAAGGUUUUAUUAAGCUGUAGCUACUGCUCAUGCAGAUGUAUGGUGCUCCAUGACAUGUCAGAGGAGAAAUUAGUCUUUUGAUGAAAACUGUCUGAUCUUCUUUUGUAAGACACUUGGUGUGUGCAUGUGCUGCUUGUUUCAAAUCUGCCUAUGGAGACCAAGCAAAAUCCCUUCAGUCAUGAUAGAUAGCAGUUUGGUAUCAAGUAUCCUUUAUAAUUGCACACAGUGCAGUAUAUCUGUAAUCAUAAGCCUUGAGAGUAUUUUACUGCUUUCACCAUAAGCUUCUGCAGGCAAUGAAAAACAAACAAACAAAAGCACUCAUUGCUCUAUGUCAGCUCCAUCCUCCAAGACAAAACAUUUCCUCUCUUGG